rnacentral:rRNA from 1 species
UGGGGAAUAUUGCACAAUGGGCGCAAGCCUGAUGCAGCCAUGCCGCGUGUAUGAAGAAGGCCUUCGGGUUGUAAAGUACUUUCAGCGGGGAGGAAGGCGAUAAGGUUAAUAACCUUGUCGAUUGACGUUACCCGCAGAAGAAGCACCGGCUAACUCCGUGCCAGCAGCCGCGGUAAUACGGAGGGUGCAAGCGUUAAUCGGAAUUACUGGGCGUAAAGCGCACGCAGGCGGUCUGUCAAGUCGGAUGUGAAAUCCCCGGGCUCAACCUGGGAACUGCAUUCGAAACUGGCAGGCUAGAGUCUUGUAGAGGGGGGUAGAAUUCCAGGUGUAGCGGUGAAAUGCGUAGAGAUCUGGAGGAAUACCGGUGGCGAAGGCGGCCCCCUGGACAAAGACUGACGCUCAGGUGCGAAAGCGUGGAGAGCAAACA